rnacentral:rRNA from 1 species
GGUGGAGCAUGUGGCUUAAUUCGAAGCAACGCGAAGAACCUUACCCAGGUUUGACAUGCUUGGAUGCAAACGGGUAAUUCCGGGCGCUGCCCUUCGGGGUGAAACUUGCACAGGUGUUGCAUGGCUGUCGUCAGCUCGUGCUGUGAAGUGUCGGGUUAAGUCCCUUAACGAGCGAAACCCUUGCCGCUAGUUGCCAGCGGGUCAUGCCGGGGACUCUAGCGGGACUGCCGGCGUUAAGCCGGAGGAAGGUGGGGACGACGUCAAGUCAUCAUGGCCUUUAUGCCUGGGGAUGCACACGUGCUACAAUGGCGCGUACAGAGCGAAGCGAGACCGCGAGGUUUAGCAAAUCGCAAAAAGCGCGCCCCAGUUCAGAUUGGAGUCUGAAAUUCGACUCCAUGAAGUUGGAAUCGCUAGUAAUCGCGUAUCAGCCAUGACGCGGUGAAUGUGUUCCUGAGCANUGUACACACCGCCCGUCAAGUCAUGGAAGCUGGUAGUACCCGAAGUCCGUUU